AGAGCGAACGCUGGCGGCGUGCUUAACACAUGCAAGUGGAGCGACGAACCAGGGCUUGCCCUGGGGCAGAGCCGCGAACGGGUGAGUAACACGUGGGUUACCUGCCUCGAUGACCGGGACAACCCGAGGAAACUCGGGCUAAUACCGGAUGUGCCCGCAAGGGGAAAGGAAGCUUCGGCCUCCGCAUCGAGAUGGGCCCGCGGCCCAUUAGCUUGUUGGUGAGGUAACGGCUCACCAAGGCUUCGAUGGGUAGCUGGUCUGAGAGGACGAUCAGCCACACUGGGACUGAGACACGGCCCAGACUCCUACGGGAGGCAGCAGUGGGGAAUCUUGCGCAAUGCGCGAAAGCGUGACGCAGCAACGCCGCGUGGGGGAAGAAGGCUUUCGGGUUGUAAACCCCUUUCAGUUGGGACGAAGCUUCGCCGGUGAAUAGCCGGCUGGAGUGACGGUACCUUCACAAGAAGCACCGGCUAACUACGUGCCAGCAGCCGC
rnacentral:rRNA from 1 species